rnacentral:rRNA from 1 species
GCCGUUGGGAGGCUUGACCUCUUAGUGGCGCAGCUAACGCGAUAAGUAGACCGCCUGGGGAGUACGGUCGCAAGAUUAAAACUCAAAUGAAUUGACGGGGGCCCGCACAAGCGGUGGAGCAUGUGGUUUAAUUCGAUGCAACGCGAAAAACCUUACCAGGCCUUGACAUCCUGAGAAUUCGGUAGAGAUACCUUAGUGCCUUCGGGAACUCAGUGACAGGUGUUGCAUGGCUGUCGUCAGCUCGUGUCGUGAGAUGUUGGGUUAAGUCCCGUAACGAGCGCAACCCUUAUCCUUAUUUGCCAGCACUUCGGGUGGGAACUUUAAGGAGACUGCCGGUGACAAACCGGAGGAAGGAGAGGAUGACGUCAAGUCAUCAUGGCCCUUACGGCCUGGGCUACACACGUGCUACAAUGGACAGUACAGAGGGCCGCAAUACCGCGAGGUGGAGCAAAUCCCAGAAAACUGUUCGUAGUCCGGAUCGGAGUCUGCAACUCGACUCCGUGAAGUCGGAAUCGCUAGUAAUCGCGAAUCAGCAUGUCGCGGUGAAUACGUUCCCGGGCCUUGUACACACCGCCCGUCACAUCAUGGGAGUGGGCUGCAAAAGAAGUGACUAGUCUAACCUUCGGGAGGACGGUCACCACUUUGUGGUUCAUGACUGGGAUG